CUGGCCCUGCUGUUGGCCAUGGGUGGACCCCGGCGUCGUCCACCAGCAGGUUCUGGGCAGCUUGCAAGGAGGACGCAAACCUCUGGCCCUAACGCUGGCCACGUGCGGACCGUGGUGUUGCUGAUGCAUGGUGCAAGUGCUUUUCACUCAUGUAGAACAACAUCCAAGAAAACAGCCCCCUCUCUCUAGUUUUUAUGCUGAAAAUUGUAAAACAGUACUUGAUAUUGUCUUGAAACAAACCCCUCCAAUGAAAUGCAAUCAUGUGGGGACAUCCCCCC
rnacentral:lncRNA from 1 species